AUACCUUUGUCGGCGACCGGCGCACGGGUGAGUAACACGUAUGCAAUCCACCUGUAACAGGGGGAUAACCCGGAGAAAUCCGGACUAAUACCCCAUAAUAUGGGCGCUCCGCAUGGAGAGCCCAUUAAAGAGAGCAAUUUUGGUUACAGACGAGCAUGCGCUCCAUUAGCCAGUUGGCGGGGUAACGGCCCACCAAAGCGACGAUGGAUAGGGGUUCUGAGAGGAAGGUCCCCCACAUUGGAACUGAGACACGGUCCAAACUCCUACGGGAGGCAGCAGUGAGGAAUAUUGGUCAAUGGACGAGAGUCUGAACCAGCCAAGUAGCGUGAAGGAUGACUGCCCUAUGGGUUGUAAACUUCUUUUAUAUGGGAAUAAAGUUUUCCACGUUUGGAAUUUUGUAUGUACCAUAUGAAUAAGGAUCGGCUAACUCCGUGCCAGCAGCCGCGGUAAUACGGAGGAUGCGAGCGUUAUCCGGAUUUAUUGGGUUUAAAGGGAGCGUAGGCGGACGCUUAAGUCAGUUGUGAAAGUUUGCGGCUCAACCGUAAAAUUGCAGUUGAUACUGGGUGUCUUGAGUACAGUAGAGGCAGGCGGAAUUCGUGGUGUAGCGGUGAAAUGCUUAGAUAUCACGAAGAACUCCGAUUGCGAAGGCAGCUCACUGGACUGCAACUGACACUGAUGCUCGAAAGUGUGGGUAUCAAACAGGAUUAGAUACCCUGGUAGUCCACACAGUAAACGAUGAAUACUCGCUGUUUGCGAUAUACAGUAAGCGGCCAAGCGAAAGCGUUAAGUAUUCCACCUGGGGAGUACGCCGGCAACGGUGAAACUCAAAGGAAUUGACGGGGGCCCGCACAAGCGGAGGAACAUGUGGUUUAAUUCGAUGAUACGCGAGGAACCUUACCCGGGCUUAAAUUGCAGAUGAAUUACGGUGAAAGCCGUAAGCCGCAAGGCAUCUGUGAAGGUGCUGCAUGGUUGUCGUCAGCUCGUGCCGUGAGGUGUCGGCUUAAGUGCCAUAACGAGCGCAACCCUUAUCGAUAGUUACCAUCAGGUUAUGCUGGGGACUCUGUCGAGACUGCCGUCGUAAGAUGUGAGGAAGGUGGGGAUGACGUCAAAUCAGCACGGCCCUUACGUCCGGGGCUACACACGUGUUACAAUGGUAGGUACAGAGGGCAGCUACCCAGCGAUGGGAUGCGAAUCUCGAAAGCCUAUCUCAGUUCGGAUUGGAGGCUGAAACCCGCCUCCAUGAAGUUGGAUUCGCUAGUAAUCGCGCAUCAGCCAUGGCGCGGUGAAUACGUUCCCGGGCCUUGUACACACCGCCCGUCAAGCCAUGGGAGCCGGGGGUACC
rnacentral:rRNA from 1 species